GACGAACGCUGGCGGCGUGCUUAACACAUGCAAGUCGAACGGAAAGGCCCUGCUUUUGUGGGGUGCUCGAGUGGCGAACGGGUGAGUAACACGUGAGUAACCUGCCCUUGACUUUGGGGUAUCUUCAGGAAACUGGGGCUAAUACCGGAUAGGAGCUCCUGCUGCAUGGUGGGGGUUGGAAAGUUUCGGCGGUUGGGGAUGGACUCGCGGCUUAUCAGCUUGUUGGUGGGGUAGUGGCUUACCAAGGCUUUGACGGGUAGCCGGCCUGAGAGGGUGACCGGCGACAUUGGGACUGAGAUACGGCCCAGACUCCUACGGGAGGCAGCAGUGGGGAACAUUGCACAAUGGGCGGAAGCCUGAUGCAGCAACGCCGCGUGCGGGAUGACGGCCUUCGGGUGGUAAACCGCUUUCGCCUGUGACGAAGCGUGAGUGACGGUAAUGGGUAAAGAAGCACCGGCUAACUACGUG
rnacentral:rRNA from 1 species